rnacentral:lncRNA from 1 species
AUCUAGUUAGAAAUGAUGACAAGUCAUGAAGGUUAAGCUUGAUUUUAGGACUAUGAGUUUAAGUUGAGAACUUAUCUUGUAGGUCCUACAGAAGAGGAUAUUUAGGCUCUUGUUCAGCUGAGUUAUUUGUUUGGAUUUUCUCCAAAUCAGGUGAGGCUUUAUUUACGAAAUGUAUGUUUGAGCUAAUAAGCUCGGUUUUAUGUAAAGUUAAAGAUGAUGGUUCAUGCUUAAAAUGUUUUUGCUCUCUAUUGGUUACUGCUUCUACCAGAACAUUGUUGGCUCCGCCAACCAGAACAUUGUUAGCUCUGCUAACCAGAAUUGUGUACGUACACCAGAACCUGUUGUCUCGAGAGAUCGGUGACAACCAGUUGUAGAUAGCAUGCCCAAUAGAUGGCCAGGAAAAUAUGAGCUCAGAUUAUUUUAGUAUGCAUGGAAUGACUCGUCUUUAAAAACAUUCUGUGUUAUACUGUUUAAAGGCAUGAAUUAUCUUUUUCAGUAAAUGAUUUUUAAAAUGUUUUUAAAUGGCUCAACCCACUGAGUACACUAGUACUCAGCCCUGCAAUUGUUUUCAAAACCUUUUGCAGAUUGAGCAGCUAGUGGUGACGUGCGAGGCUGAGGAAGGGUUGUUGCUGUGGAUUCUGAAGAAAUACUGCGUUUACUUCUCCUAAAAUAAAUUCACUUAGUGAAUAUUAUCUGAUGCCUAAUUAUAUUAAUACUUUUAUUCAUAUUUCUAAUAUGAAUUUCAUUCUCCAUCACUUUUCUAGCGAUUGUUUUUCGCAUCUAUUAUAUGCUUAGUAUGAGACGUUGUUUUGGUCUCAGACCUUCGAACUUCCGAUCCUGAUAGGGAGAAUAAUUAUGUUAUAAUGUCGUACUUGUUUUCAUUUAAAUACGGCAUAAUGUCCAACCCUCAGGGCACAUUACCUAUUUUAUUCAAGUAAAGCUUAGUAGUCCUGUCACAUAGCCCAUUUCUUAUUCUCCCGGGAAAUCAGGGCUGUCACAAAUGGUAUCAGAGCAAAGGUUCUUGGCUCUGAGACCGCUAUUUCAUUGAUGUUGAGUCUAGAAUAACAUCUCUAGACUUCUAAGCUACACAACAACCCUCAGCUCGCCUUCACACCGCCCUCAAGAAAGAAAGGUACGCGAUUUUAACAAAUUUUACUUAAAGUGCGUACAAGUAUUUAAAGUGGUUUUAAAAGCAAUAGUUCUUGUUAAAAGAAAAUAUUUCAGUUUGUUGUAUUAUUUUACAACCAGAUUCCCAGAAAGAUGUUAUUUUGAGCUUUAGCUUGAAUAACCAGAAAGUUUGUCAUGUUUGUAUGACCAGAAAGAUUUGUCAUAUUCAUUUAUAUGACCAGAAAGUUGUCAUAUCUUUAUGACCAGUAUUUGAGCUUUGACUCGCCUCAGUUAUCAGUUCAUGCAUGUGUAAUUUUCUCGUAGUUAGAGAAAUACACUAGAUAAUAGCAUGAUAAUCUUAUGAGAUAGACUCCUAGCAUGAAGCGCUAGAAGAAUCAAGAAAAAGUUAGAGUGCUCUACAGAAAUACGUAUAACUUAGAAAGCUCGAAUAGAAAGAUAGAACGAAGCAAGAUAGAACAUAGAAAGACAUCAUACAAAGAGAUAGAACAUAGAAAGACAUCAUACAAAGAGAUAGAACAUAGAAGUUCAGAAUUUAGAAAGAUAGAUCGCAAAAGACAAAGAGAAUAGAAGAAGAAGACAUAGAAGGAUGAGCUGAAGACAAACAAAACGACGAGUGAAUUGUUCCACGCAAUCUACAAGUAUGAAAGACUCAAGACUUCACAGUAACGUGUACCAAUCACUAAAGAAAUGUGGAAGAGAACUACUGCAACUUCACCACAAGCUGACAAGAAUUUGAAGCUACGAGAAGCAGGAAUGCCCCACAAUAUAGUAGGGUUACCUGUUAUAUAUAUUCUAAACGUAAACCUUUAUUUCAUUUCGAGCCCGACGCUUUUGGAAUAUAUAUAUAUAAGUAAAUUCUUUGAAGAGCAUUAUUUUUCAUGUUCAAAAGCCCUAAUACUUUUUGGAAUAUAUAAUCCUUGGAAAGACCUUAUUUUGCUCCUUGAAGCCUUUUUUUGGAAGCAUAUGAUACAUAGGUUUCAUACCUUGAUAUGCCAAUCUUCAUUCAUAUUUUAAUAUGUGUUGUUAUUUUUUUUAGCGCAACACACCUAGUUAUUUUUGCUCAUAUACUUAUGAUAUCAAUAAGCUUUCACUAACCAAGUUGUUUCUACAGAAUGGCUGGAGAAGAAGAAAGGGUACCUAACGCUGAAGAACCUGUGCUACAAGCCGCACAACGCAGAGCGAGUGAAAGGUUCCGCAAGCACAAUCCACCCACCUUCAAUGGAAUGGGAGAUCCAAUGGAUGCAGAAAAAUGGAUACGAUCCUUAGAGCGAAUCUUCGACUUCAUGGGUCUUACUGACAAAGAGCGUUUGACAUGUGCUAUCUUUCAACUAACAGACGAGGCUGACUAUUGGUGGGAGUCGGUGCAGAGGACGUUANNNNNNNNNNNNNNNNNNNNNNNNNNNNNUUAUUAUUAUUAUUAUUAUUAUUAUUAUUAUUAUUAUUAUUAUUAUUAUUAUUAUUAUUAUUAUUAUUAUUAUUAUUAUUAUUAUUAUUAUUAUUAUUAUUAUUAUUAUUAUUAUUAUUUUAUUUUUUCAAUGUCAAAAUAGAAGACACAUUGUCCUACUGUUAUUAAAUAUUGUGUUGAAGAUUGUUGGGUCCCGGAGGGCAAUUGAACUGGCGUAUGGGGGGGGAAUAUACCAGUAGACUAUUUUUUAGAAAAUCUUCUUUAGAACUGAAAGAGUAUCAACUGAUACCGAAAUGUUUGGAUUGAAAGACAACAGUCAAGGACUGUUUCAUUUAAAAUAGGGGUGUAGACUGAUACUGGAAUGACUUCAGUAUUUUGAUUUCAGUCAAGCACAAAGCUUUGACUGAUAAUCCACGUAAGGUUUCAAUCUAUAAUUUGAAAUCAGAUAAGUGUUAUGAAUCUUACUGAUUAUCCAAGGAUUUGUCAGUUAGACUAAUAACACUAGCAGCAGAAAUUAAACUUAAGAAAUAACCUUUGUGAUUAACACUUUGUCAGAUCAAUUUCAGUUAAGUAAAGAGUUUGUGCACAACAAUGAAAGUAAAUACUGAAAGCGAUAAGCAACACGAGAUUUUUAAAACCUUAAAUUGAAACAAGGUUUCAGUACCAAUUCUCGGAUUGGACUUCUCAUCUUCUUCUCAGGUCAUAGUUGCAAUGACUACACUCGCCUUGCUUGCGGGGGCUAAGAUCUCUUGAGUUCAGACAACAGUCUAGAACUCUCUCUCUCAAACUCUAUUUUUCCUCUUUUGAAAAGGGGUUCGAAAUACCAACAGGAUUACAGAGAAUAUGCUCUCUGUAAUCAAAGACUUAGGCUAGGGAUUUUAUAAUGUAAUUGCCUAAGGAUGUAAGAGAAUUUUGGUAAUCAGUAAACUGAUUUGAACAUGGAAUAUUAUCUUCUUCAAUUCAAACUUUGGAUAGCAAUAAAAUGGCUGAGUCGCAAAUUUGACAGAGGUUCAGNNNNNNNNNNCUCGAGCUCUAUAUUGUAAUACCCCAAGUUUUCCUCAAUAUGAUUUUAGAAGAAUGAUUGGGUUUAGAAUUAAGUCGAUUCGCACCCCGGAGAAAAUUUGUUUUAAUUCAGAUAAAUGGUUUGUUAAAAUUUUAAGGCAAAUUUGUCAAUGGGCCUUAUUUGAUUAUGAUGUGGGAUCAUUNUUUUUUUAGUGGGCCGAGUUGUUAUUUGGAGGCCCAAACCCAUUGCUAUUAUAGAUAUUUUCAUUAAGGAUUUAUGGAAGGGGGUUAAUCCACGUUGCCAAUUUCCUUCUACAAACUCACUCGAGCUCUGCACCGAGGAUCAGCAGUAGAGCUCUUCUCUUCCUCAAUCAUCCAUCAUAUUCUUAUCUAAUCAUCCACAUACAACAACCCACAAAAAUCAACCAUCAUCAAGAAAUCGAAAGUCUAUUCCCAACCACAGUUCAUUAUAUUCUUUUUGCCACUCAAUCACAUCUCUUUGAUGAAGAACUCUAUUCUAUAGCAAAAUCCUUGAGAAAAGGUUUGAUCUUACACCAUCUAUUCAUGACUUAUAUACUGUUUUCACUACUUCACAAAGAAGCUAUCUUUUUCAUGCUUUUGUUGGCGUGUGUGUGUAUGUGUGCUGCUGUGUGCGUGAGUUCUUAGAGCUGUCGUCGUCGUUGUGGCGAGACGGGCAGGUCGGGAUCGAGAGAGAACAGGGGAGGAUCGGCGGCGGCAGCGGCCUGAUGCUUCUGCUUGCGACUGCCGUAAAUGGAGAGAGAGAAAGGGGAGACGGCUGGACGGUGGGGCUGUUCAGCGGUGGGACCGGCGGCGGCGGUGGAGGCGGCUUGUGACUCCUACUGUCCGUCGGUCAAGAGAGAAAGAGAUGGGUGGUGCUGCUAUCGUUCGGAGAGGAGUCAGCAGAGCUGCUGCUGCUGUUGACGGCGGUGGUCCGGUUGGCUGUGGCUGCCGUUCGAAGAAUCAGAGGAGGAGAGAGGCGGCGAUGGCGGCGGUCCGGCUGACUGCUGCUGUCGGUUGGAGUAGAGGGGUCAAGUCCGGCGGUAACCUCGCCGGAAAUCGAAGAGGAGAGAGAAGCUAGGGAUUUUUGGGGGUUCGGUGAAUUGAGGGAGGAGGGAGAAAGACAGAGAAAGAUGAGGGCGGCGGUGGUACGCCGGCGUCGCGCCGGCGAAUUUGUAGGCGGCGGCGGCGACGUGAGAUGAGAGGAAGGGAGAGAGAAAGUGGCGAGAAGGAGAGAGAGACCGAAUGGGAGAGUGAGAGUGAGGUCUUGUGUCUGUGUGUGUGCGUGAGAAAAAGGAGAAGAAAGGAGAGGUUGAUGAGUUGAGUUGGGCUGGGUAUUUUUUUUUAGUUGGGCUUAUAGUUGGGCCGUUUUUUUUUUAUUAAGUGAGCUGCAUUGUUUUUAAUUUGGGCCUUUAAUUAUUUUGGGCUGCAUGUUUAUUUGUUUGGUUACAUGUUUUUAUUAAAAAGUUAAAGUCUUACAAAUGUUUGUAAGCAAAAUAUUUUUAAUUUGAUUUUAUGCUCAAGAUGAGUUUUUAAGAAAAGUCGAGCAAGGGUAUUAUUGAAACUCUUAGCCAAGAAAAAUGAUUUUUAAGUUUUAUGUUGAAUUUUUGGAAACCCGGGUGUUGCGAAUCUAGUUAGAAAAUGAUGACAAGUCAUGAAGGUUAAGCUUGAUUUUAGGACUAUGAGUUUAAGUUGAGGACUUAUUUUGUAGGUCCUACAGAAGAGGAUAUUUAAGCUCUUGUUCAGCUGAGUAAUUUGUUUGGAUUUCUCCAAAUCAGGUGAGGCUUUAUUUACGAAAUGUAUGUUUGAGCUAAUAAGCUCGGUUUUAUGAAAUGUUAAAGUUGAUGGUUCAUGCUUAAAAUGUUUUUGCUCUCUAUUGGUUAUUGCUUCUACCAGAAUAUUGUUGGCUCUGCCAACCAGAACAUUGUUAGCUCUGCUAACCAGAAUUGUGUACGUACACCAGAACCUGUUGUUUCGAGAGAUCGAUGACAACCAGUUGUAGAUAGCAUGCCCAAUAGAUGACCAGGAAAAUAUGAGCUCAGAUUAUUUUAGUAUGCAUGGAAUGACUCACUUUAAAAACAUUCUGUGUUAUACUGUUUAAGGCAUGAAUUAUCUUUUUCAGUAAAUGAUAUUUAAAAUGUUUUUAAAUGGCUCAACCCACUGAGUACACUAGUACUCAGCCCUGCAAUUGUUUUCAAAACCUUUUGCAGAUUGAGCAGCUGGUGGUGACGUGCGAAGCUGAGGAAAGGUUGUUGCUGUAAUAUUGAAGAACACUCUGUUUUACUUCCGCUGAAAUAAAUUCACUUAGUGAAUAUUAUCUGAUGCCUAACUAUAUUAAUACUUUUAUUCAUAUUUAUAAUAUGAAUUUCAUUCUCCAUCACUUUUCUAGCGAUUGUUUUCCCGCAUCUAUUAUAUGCUUUGUAUGAGACGUUGUCUUGGUCUCAGACCUUCGAACUUCCGAUCCUGAUAGGGAGAAUAAUUAUGUUAUAAUGUCGUACUUGCUCUCAUUUAAAUACGGCAUAAUGCCAACCCUCAGGGCGCAUUACAUAUUUUAUUCAAGUAAAGCUUAGUAAUCCUGUCACAUAGCCCAUUUCUUUUUCUCCCGGGAAAUCGGGGCAGUCACAUAUAUAUAGGCGAAGUCUUGAAUAAAUCCGUUGCCAAGAUGGUCUUCAAGAAUUCGGCCGUUGUGAAAUAGAUUUGAAUUAUGGGCUGAGGCUUCAAUCUUCGAGGCUCCUGAUUUGCAGAGAAAGGGGCGUCUCAAGAUGCAGGAGUAUGAUACUUCUGAAAAUGUUGCACAAAAUAGGAAAGCUCUGCAGAGGAAGGACGAUCUUCAUAUCUUUGCAUUUAAUGCUGCUGUACUUGGUGUGUACGUGACUACCUUUUAACUUAAGGUUCAGUCCGAUGAAGAAUGUCAACUGAUACUUGACUUAAGUAUCAGUCCGUUAUUUGCACGUGGCCAACAUUAGUUAUUCAGUCAUAACUGAAUCUUCAGUGAAGUCUUCGUCCAUUAAAUACUCUAGUAUUUGUCUCCAGCCUUUUCAGUUACGAUCUUCAGUCAAGCGGUAUUCAGUCCUUCGAUCUUCAGUCCGCCGGUCUUCAGUCUAGCUAGUUAACUGAACCUAACACUUGAGUUCAAAAAGUUCUAAUCUAGAAAGAGAAAAUCUAAGAGUUAUGGUAUCAUCAAAACUAGGGCAUGAAUAUUUCAUUAAUUUCCCAACAAACAUAGAAAUGAAAUUGAUUUUAAUGAUGUUAUAAUUAAUUUUCACCAUUUUUUACAUAUAUAGUUACAAUAAGUGUAUAUCUCAUUAUAAUACUUUUUUUAAUCAAAAAAGAGAUAUCUCAUUAUAAUACUAAUGUACUCCCUCCCUCUGUCCCAACCAAGAUGAUACAUUUAUUUUCGGCACGGGAUUUUAGGAGUUGUAGAUUAGUGUUUUAAGUGUAUAGUAUAAAAAUGAUAAAGUAGAAGAGAGAAGGUAAUAAAGUGAUAAAGUAUGAGAGAGAAUGUAAUAAGGGAGCGAUUAAUUAGUUGUAAUUCUGCAAUUAAAAUCCCUUAUUUUUUUCCAUAUUUAGAAAUGUAGCAUCUUCGUUGGGACGAUCCAAAAAGGAAUAUAUAGCAUCUUCGUUGGGACAGAGGGAGUAUUAUUUAGUACUUGAUCAUUAUAUUCUUACUUAUUAUGAUUUUUUAUAAUAAUGAUUUAAUAUAGAUUAUGAUUUAGUUAUUUAUUUUUUAAUAAUUGUUGAAAGUCUUGAUGAAAUUCGAUUUGAUUUUAGUUUAUUUAAAAUUCACAAAUGUUUUAAAAAGAAAAAAAAUAUGGAUCAUGGUCUGGACCCGAGACCCUGUGGAUUUUAUGGAUCUGGACCUAGAUCUUAUCUUUUUAGAUUCAACGGAUCUGGACCGGAUCCGGACCAAAGUAAGACAAUACGGAUCUGGAUCUAGACCAAGUAGGAUCCGGUCCAGAUCCGACCCAUUGUCAUCCCUACACGUGGACCCCUUUUUCAACUGAUUAACUUAAUUAACUUUUUUCACUUUUAUUCAUUUGUGGACUCAUUUCUCCACUAAGUAAAUAAACAACACAAAAUUUUUAAAACCUGUGCCACCCUCCAUUAGAGCAUCUUUUCAUGGACGAAGAGAGCAUUUAUGAAAUUUUAAAGUUUUGAAAAGUAUUUGACAAAAUGAGAUUUUUAAACUACUUAUAGACUAUAAAAAAUAAGUUUUAAUAACUUAUAAGCUUCAUACAAACCCAACCUUAAUUUUUCACAAUCUUAUAAGCAAUGAAUAAUUUACAAAAAUAAAACUACUAUGGAAUUUCAAAUAUGUCUAACACUUUAAAUUCGAUCAGAUUACUACAAUUUUUCGUAGGACCGUGAGACCAUUGCACUGAACAUAUAAAAUCAUUGGAUUAAUUGUGAAAUUAACUUCACUCGAAAAUAAAAUGGAAUUUUCAUCUCCCAUAUGAAUUUGAAUUGAACUCAGAU